rnacentral:rRNA from 1 species
AGUGAACGCUGGCGGUAGGCCUAACGCAUGCAAGUCGAACGGCAGCACAGUAAGAGCUUGCUCUUACGGGUGGCGAGUGGCGGACGGGUGAGGAAUACAUCGGAAUCUACUUUUUCGUGGGGGAUAACGUAGGGAAACUUACGCUAAUACCGCAUACGACCUACGGGUGAAAGCAGGGGAUCUUCGGACCUUGCGCGAUUGAAUGAGCCGAUGUCGGAUUAGCUAGUUGGCGGGGUAAAGGCCCACCAAGGCGACGAUCCGUAGCUGGACUGAGAGGAUGAUCAGCCACACUGGAACUGAGACACGGUCCAGACUCCUACGGGAGGCAGCAGUGGGGAAUAUUGGACAAUGGGCGCAAGCCUGAUCCAGCCAUACCGCGUGGGUGAAGAAGGCCUUCGGGUUGUAAAGCCCUUUUGUUGGGAAAGAAAAGCAGCAGGUUAAUACCCCGCUGUUCUGACGGUACCCAAAGAAUAAGCACCGGCUAACUUCGUG